UCCUACGGGAGGCAGCAGUAAGGAAUAUUGGUCAAUGGACGCAAGUCUGAACCAGCCAUGCCGCGUGAAGGAUUAAGGUCCUUUGGAUUGUAAACUUCUUUUAUGGGGACGGAAAAAGGGGGGUCAAGUCACACGGUGGUCCGGGACCAGG
rnacentral:rRNA from 1 species